UGCAGUCGAACGGUGAUAGCAAUAUCAUAGUGGCGCACGGGUGCGUAACACGUAUGCAACCUACCUAUUAUUGGGGGAUAGCCUUUGGAAACGGAGAUUAAUACCGCAUAAUACGAUUGACUGGCAUCGGUUGAUUGUUAAAGCUUCGGCGAUAAUAGAUGGGCAUGCGUCCAAUUAGUUAGUUGGUUAGGUAACGGCUGACCAAGACGAUGAUUGGUAGGGGAUCUGAGAGGAUAAUCCCCCACACUGGCACUGAGAUACGGGCCAGACUCCUACGGGAGGCAGCAGUAGGAAAUAUUGGGCAAUGGGCGGAAGCCUGACCCAGCCAUGCCGCGUGCAGGAAGAAGGCGUUAUGCGUUGUAAACUGCUUUUUUAUAGGAAGAAGGAUCCCUUGCGAGGGAAGGUGACGGUACUAUAAGAAUAAGCACCGGCUAACUCCGUGCCAGCAGCCGCGGUAAUACGGAGGGUGCAAGCGUUGUCCGGAUUUAUUGGGUUUAAAGGGUGCGUAGGCGGUUUAUUAAGUCAGUGGUGAAAGACGGUCGCUCAACGAUUGCAGUGCCAUUGAUACUGGUAGACUUGAGUGAGAUUGAGGUAGCUGGAAUGGAUAGUGUAGCGGUGAAAUGCAUAGAUAUUAUCCAGAACACCGAUUGCGAAGGCAGGUUACUAAGUCUUAACUGACGCUGA
rnacentral:rRNA from 1 species